rnacentral:tRNA from 3 species
GCCGAAGUGGCGGAACAGGCAGACGCGCACGACUCAAAAUCGUGUACCCUCCGGGUAUGUGGGUUCGAUUCCCACCUUCGGCACCA